rnacentral:rRNA from 1 species
AGAGAGAGACAUGCGCGUAUAUCAAUAAGCGGAGGAAAAGAAACUAACAAGGAUUCCCUUAGUAACGGCGAGUGAAGCGGGAAGAGCUCAAAUUUGAAAUCUUCAAGGUUUUACCUUGACGAAUUGUAGUUUAAAGAAGUGUUUUCUGCUGAAGUUUUGGUAAAAGUUCUUUGGAAUAGGACAUCAUAGAGGGUGAGGAAUCCCGUAUUUGACCAUUAUUUUCAGCUUUGUGAUACACUUUCAAAGAGUCGGAUUGUUUGGGAAUGCAGUCCAAAAUGGGUGGUAAAUUUCAUCUAAAGCUAAAUAUUGGCGAGAGACCGAUAGCGAACAAGUACCGUGAGGGAAAGAUGAAAAGAACUUUGAAAAGAGAGUUAAACAGUACGUGAAAUUGUCAAAAGGGAAGCGUUUGACACCAGUGUUGUUUUCUCGAAAAUCAAUUAAAAAUGGCUCGAUUUUGUAUUGUUGAGACCUUAAAAGCUCACUGUACAUUUUUCGUGUCUUUUUUAAUACACUUUUCGUUUAACAAGUCAACAUCAGUUUCUUUUGUUGUAAAAGGGUCAUUGGAAGGUGGCUUUCUUUUCGGAGAAAGUGUUUAUAGCCUUUGGCCUCUGCAAUCGGAGAGACUGAGGUCUGCAGCGUAGACUCUUCGGGGUUAGAUACAUUUGUGCUAAGUUAUAGCUUUUUAUAGACAACUUGUUGACUAUAAUUAGUCUUGUAGCUUACUCGCUUAUGCUAUUUUACCUACGCUUAGGAUGUUGAAGAUGUAGCACAUCA